UCACACACACAGGUGAAUGCUUCAAUUCAGGGUGCAUCUGAAUAAUGAAGGUGGUGAUUGCUGCAAACAAUUUCAUGCGGGCGCUGUGGGCGCUGUGCAUGUAAUGAAAGGUCUCAAAGCAUUCUAAAAGCUGAAGCCUCAAUAUUGAAGUGAUCCAGGUAGAACCCAUUUGUUCUCAAGAGAAGAGAGAGGAGAGGAGAGAAGAGGUGAAAGGCUCCAUGCCUGUGGACUUCACUCUGGGAUCAAUCUGUAUACAGGAGGCCACCUUCCAGCCUCUUCCCUCUCAUCCCUUCUCCCUCAGGCGAAGCCUCUCCUCUGUCUAGCAACCUCUGGAGACUUUUUUUAAUGGCAACAGAAUGGUCCAGGUCACGUCUAUCUACUGACAAAAGGAUAAUGAGCGCUGCUGGCAAAAAUCCUGUCCUUGCAUCUAUUCCUUUCGCUACCAAAUGCCUGAAAUGUGUUCAAAAUGCACUUUGCUGCUCAGUCAUUAAGUCAUCUGAAAAGGACAAGGAGUAAAUAAGGUACCAUCAGCUCGGCUCGGGAGGGGGGAAGAACAACUGCGUGGGCGAUCUUGGGCUAUUUUCAGCAGAGGUUUUGCGCUAGCGUGGGGUGGCUGUGAGGCUCACAAAGGGAAUUUGGGCACAAAUGAGGCGUGAAGGCCUCGUUGGGCAGGGGAAGGGCGGGUGAGGCACAGGGGAGCAUCCCGGGGGCAGUGAGUGUUUGCCCUCAGCAGCUCCGGCCCCGCUCCUCGCCCCCUGCACCGCCUGGCAGCAGAGCUGCCUGCCUCGCUGAGCUUGGAGAAACAUUAGGAUCUAAUCUAUCAUGUGACAGGAAAGGAAACUUUUUUUUUCUUUUUUUUUUUUUUUUCCUUUCGUCCCUGCUUUUAACAGCCUUUGUUUGGAUUUCGGCGUGUGGGUUUUGAGGUGCAGAGAGAUUUAACCUGGGUCUCUGGACUGAUUACUUUGCUGUCAGCUGAUGUAUGUGGGGCUCUUUCCAGACACAUCCACGAGUGUUACAUCUCACUAAAGACACAGACAGGGAGCCAGACCUCUCGCUGAACUUACACAAGAGACAUCACACUCAUUUAAUUAAAAAGAUCUGAGCUGCUGGUGUUCUUCAUGUCAGAUGGUACAUCCUGGGUUACAUGCCCAGGAGGAACAAAAAGAAGGAAACUCUCUUCCUUGUACUACAAAGUAAAGAGGACUGGGAAAUAUUUUGGUAUCUGCAGAGCCUGGGAGCUCUGACUCUAUCAUUCCAUGUGUAUUUUGUGCAGCACAAACAUCUGGUUAUUCACUUUUUUCUCUAGAAUUUCAAGUCCUGGCCUUGCCUGCUAAUCUGGUCCUAGCUUUGGUGGACUGCACAUGGGAGCAGCAAUUGGCUUUAAAGUCAAAUAUUUUUGUGGCACCUCAGAAACUCUGCUGUAUGCACAGUCUGGGCUCUGUGUGGCACUCAGAGCGUGGUGCCUAAGGAAGGUAUUUGCAGUAUGCCACAUGGGAGGCAUAUUCCUCAGCUAGGAUGUGCUGGAUGUAGGUUCCCUCUUGGAUUAAGCCAUCCUUUUGGGCAUGAAUAAAUACCUGGCUCAUUACAGCACCUCCUUCUCAUGUAGCAGACAUUUAUAUGCCAUGGGAACUCCGUUCCCACCUGAGGCUGAAACCCAUUUCUCAGGAAAAGUGCCUAACCACUGGCAUUUCCACCCUCCUCUGAAACUUGUGUACAGAGCAAUUUGAAGGUGACAGAGACUGAGUGACAGCUCCUUGAGGCUGAGGAGGGUCUGCAAUAAAACCUCCUGCCUCUCAGAUGGGAAAUCCAGCCACGGGUGUGAGGAGCUGAGCAGGCUGCAUGUGGCUGUCUGUGCCUUAUUAACAAACUGGUGAAGUGAAAAUUAAUACACAGAGUUCAUCCAUAUUUAUUCUCAGGUCAGGAUUGUGUGGUAGGUUCUUCGCUUUCAUAAUGAAACCAGAUUAUAGCACAGUACAAAUCUUCUUUUUUGGGUUUUAACCAUUUAAGGACAAAACAAAACUUAGUUUUGAAAGAAAAACACACAUUCCAAGGCAUCCCAGACUGAGAGAAAAUGUUAUUCCAUCUUUUAGGAUCUUCAUGAAUACCGAGGUUCACUUAUUAAUUGAUUCCACAUGACUUGGCUCUGAGAUCAGGUAAUCUGGCUGGAUAUAUUGCCGUGUCCAGUUUGAGAGAGAUUAUCAACUCUGUGUCCUUUACAGUCUUUAACUUUUUGCCCUUUCAUCCAUCAAGUUUCCAUUUGACUCAUGUUCAACACAAAUCAAAUCAGGCCAAAUCAAUCUUCCUACCAACAUUAUUAAUUCUCAUUUUUUGAUGUGUGAUGAGUUGAAGUGGAAUGGUGUUUGUUCACACAGCCAUAAAUUACACUUUAUUUUCCAGCCUUGUUUUGGUUUUGCUGGAACAGGUCAUUUUGAAGAUGCUGCCCUGGCAGCUGCUUAGCCUGAAGUCUUCUUCAUCCACGUAGAAUUUGGA